rnacentral:rRNA from 1 species
GAUGAACGCUGGCGGCGUGCCUAAUACAUGCAAGUCGAGCGAACGGACGAGAAGCUUGCUUCUCUGAUGUUAGCGGCGGACGGGUGAGUAACACGUGGAUAACCUACCUAUAAGACUGGGAUAACUUCGGGAAACCGGAGCUAAUACCGGAUAAUAUUUUGAACCGCAUGGUUCAAAAGUGAAAGACGGUCUUGCUGUCACUUAUAGAUGGAUCCGCGCUGCAUUAGCUAGUUGGUAAGGUAACGGCUUACCAAGGCAACGAUGCAUAGCCGACCUGAGAGGGUGAUCGGCCACACUGGAACUGAGACACGGUCCCGACUCCUACGGGAGGCAGCCGUAGGGAAUCUUCCGCAAUGGGCGAAAGCCUGACGGAGCAACGCCGCGUGAGUGAUGAAGGUCUUCGGAUCGUAAAACUCUGUUAUUAGGGAAGAACAUAUGUGUAAGUAACUGUGCACAUCUUGACGGUACCUAAUCAGAAAGCCACGGCUAACUACGUG